CAAAAAGGAUUCCUUAGUUGUUCAUUUUUUUGAAAAUCUAAUGGCACAAUUUCGAUUUGAGCCAAUGUCUUAAGUAGCUGAACAGGUUAUUACUCCAACCUUGUAAAUGUGACAAACUGACACGUUUUUAAUUAUAAACAAAAAACUUUGUAUCGACGAGUGGGUGCCUUUGAUUCGAUGGCCUGCACAUGGGCAGUUCAUGACCCCAUGACGUGUUUGUAGGCAUGAGUUUAGCUAGCCAUGACAUCGCCUACAAGUGUGAUAGGGGAUUUCUAUUGGAUAAGCAGUUUUAGCCUUAUCUUCAUACCAGUGACAGUCAAUGCCGUUUAAGAUUAGGGAGGACAAUUGUUUUUUAUUUUUUUAUUAUGAACAUGGCCUUAUUUCUGUUACAGCAUAUUGGAUGACUGUCAUUCAUAUUCCAUUCACCCAGCUCAAUGUAACAGUGAUAGGUUUAGGUUACUGUCAUUCAUAUUCCAGUCACCCAGCUCAAUGUAACAGUGACAGGUUUAGGUUACUGUCAUUCAUAUUCCAGUCACCCAGCUCAAUGUAACAGUGACAGGUUUAGGUUACUGCCAUUCAUAUUCCAUUCACCCAGCUCAAUGUAACAGUGACAGGUUUAGGUUACUGUCAUUCAUAUUCCAUUCACCCAGCUCAAUGUAACAGUGAUAGGUUUAGGUUACUGUCAUUCAUAUUCCAGUCACCCAGCUCAAUGUAACAGUGACAGGUUUAGGUUACUGUCAUUCAUAUUCCAUUCACCCAGCUCAAUGUAACAGUGAUAGGUUUAGGUUACUGUCAUUCAUAUUCCAUUCACCCAGCUCAAUGUAACAGUGAUAGGUUUAGGUUACUGUCAUUCAUAUUCCAUUCACCCAGCUCAAUGUAACAGUGACAGGUUUAGGUUACUGUCAUUCAUAUUCCAUUCACCCAGUUCAAUGUAACAGUGAUAGGUUUAGGUUACUGUCAUUCAUAUUCCAUUCACCCAGCUCAAUGUAACAGUGAUAGGUUUAGGUUACUGUCAUUCAUAUUCCAUUCACCCAGCUCAAUGUAACAGUGAUAGGUUUAGGUUACUGUCAUUCAUAUUCCAUUCACCCAGCUCAAUGUAACAGUGAUAGGUUUAGGAUACUGUCAUUCAUAUUCCAUUCACCCAGCUCAAUGUAACAGUGAUAGGUUUAGGAUACUGUCAUUCAUAUUCCAGUCACCCAGCUCAAUGUAACAGUGAUAGGUUUAGGUUACUGUCAUUCAUAUUCCAUUCACCCAGCUCAAUGUAACAGUGAUAGGUUUAGGUUACUGUCAUUCAUAUUCCAUUCACCCAGCUCAAUGUAACAGUGAUAGGUUUAGGUUACUGUCAUUCAUAUUCCAUUCACCCAGCUCAAUGUAACAGUGAUAGGUUUAGGAUACUGUCAUUCAUAUUCCAUUCACCCAGCUCAAUGUAACAGUGACAGGUUUAGGUUACUGUCAUUCAUAUUCCAGUCACCCAGCUCAAUGUAACAGUGAUAGGUUUAGGUUACUGUCAUUCAUAUUCCAUUCACCCAGCUCAAUGUAACAGUGAUAGGUUUAGGUUACUGUCAUUCAUAUUCCAUUCACCCAGCUCAAUGUAACAGUGAUAGGUUUAGGUUACUGUCAUUCAUAUUCCAUUCACCCAGCUCAAUGUAACAGUGACAGGUUUAGGUUACUGUCAUUCAUAUUCCAUUCACCCAGUUCAAUGUAACAGUGACAGGUUUAGGUUACUGUCAUUCAUAUUCACCCAGUUCAAUGUAACAGUGAUAGGUUUAGGUUACUGUCAUUCAUAUUCACCCAGUUCAAUGUAACAGUGACAGGUUUAGGUUACUGUCAUUCAUAUUCACCCAGUUCAAUGUAACAGUGAUAGGUUUAGGUUACUGUCAUUCAUAUUCAUAUUCACCCAGUUCAAUGUAACAGUGACAGGUUUAGGUUACUGUCAUUCAUAUUCCAGUCACCCAGCUCAAUGUAACAGUGAUAGUUUUAGGUUACUGCCAUUCAUUUCCAUUCACCCAGUUCAAUGUAACAGUGAUAGGUUUAGGAUACUACAUGAUACUCUAAUGUUCCCUAUACCAAUCCAGCAUCUAUGUAAUGACAUGAUAAAUAAAUAACAAUAAGAUCGCAUCCAAGUCAACUCGCGCUGGUAGACUAUCUCUGUCCCUGCUCCCCCUCGUCACUCACAUGACUGCUGCUCUGCGUUGACCCUCUCGCUCUCCCUCAUGCCUUAAAGCUCCCUCAUGCAUUAAAGCUCCCUCAUUCAUUAAAGCUCCCUCUUGCAUUAAAGCUCCCUUAUUCCUUAAAGCUCCCUCUUGCAUUAAAGCUCCCUCAUUCCUUAAAGCUCCCUCAUGCAUUAAAGCUCCCUCAUGCAUUAAAGCUCCCUCAUGCAUUAAAGCUCCCUCAUGCAUUAAAGCUCCCUCAUGCAUUAAAGCUCCCUCAUUCCUUAAAGCUCCCUCAUGCAUUAAAGCUCCCUCAUGCAUUAAAGCUCCCUCAUGCAUUAAAGCUCCCUCAUUCAUUAAAGCUCCCUCA